UACUCCCGCCGGCGACCGGCGCACGGGUGAGUAACACGUAUGAAACCUGCCCGUAGCAGGGGGAUAAGCGGAAGAAAUUCCGUCUAAUACCGCGUAACAACCCGAGGAGGCAUCUCCUCGGGUUUAAAGGAAGCGAUUCCGGCUACGGAUGGUCAUGCGUCGCAUUAGCUAGUUGGCGGGGUAACGGCCCACCAAGGCGACGAUGCGUAGGGGUUCUGAGAGGAAGGUCCCCCACACUGGUACUGAGACACGGACCAAACUCCUACGGAAGGCAGCAG
rnacentral:rRNA from 1 species